rnacentral:rRNA from 1 species
GACGAACGCUGGCGGCGUGCCUAAUACAUGCAAGUCGAGCGGACGGAUGGGAGCUUGCUCCCAGACCGUCAGCGGCGGACGGGUGAGUAACACGUGGGCAACCUGCCUGUAAGACUGGGAUAACUCCGGGAAACCGGGGCUAAUACCGGAUAACUCUUUCCCUCACAUGAGGGAAAGCUGAAAGAUGGCAUCUCGCUAUCACUUACAGAUGGGCCCGGGGCGCAUUAGCUAGUUGGGGAGGUAAAGGCUCACCAAGGGGGCGAGGCGGAGCCGACCUGCGAGGGUGAUCGGCCACACUGGGACUGAGCCACGGCCCAGACUCCUGCGGGAGGCAGCAGUAGGGAAUGUUCCGCAAUGGACGAAAGUCUGACGGAGCAACGCCGCGUGAGUGAUGAAGGUGUUCGGAUCGUAAAACUCUGUUGUCAGGGAAGAACAAGUACCGGAGUAACUGCCGGUACCUUGACGGUACCUGACCAGAAAGCCACGGCUAACUACGUG